GAGGAAUAUUGGUCAAUGGACGCAAGUCUGAACCAGCCAUGCCGCGUGGAGGAUGAAGGCCUUCGGGUCGUAAACUCCUGUCGACCGGGACGAAAGUAGUCUGGCCCAAUACGCCGGGCUAUCGACUGUCCCGGUGGAGGAAGCCACGGCCAACCCUGUGCCAGCAGCCGCGGUAAUACAGAGGUGGCAAGCGUUGUUCGGAAUUACUGGGCGUAAAGGGCGCGUAGGCGGUCUUGCAAGUCCUGUGUGAAAUCCCUCGGCUCAACUGAGGAACUGCACAGGAAACUGCUUGGCUUGAGUUCGGGAGAGGGAAGCGGAAUUCCGGGUGUAGCGGUGAAAUGCGUAGAUAUCCGGAGGAACACCGGUGGCGAAGGCGGCUUCCUGGACCGACACUGACGCUGAGGCGCGAAAGCUAGGGGAGCAAA
rnacentral:rRNA from 1 species